rnacentral:lncRNA from 1 species
AGACCCAGAUCCUGAAGCAGAAACCUGGUCGGUUUGAACUGGAGGAACUAAAGUGAGCUGUGGUGGUUCUUCUCCGGUCGCAGGAGUCUGUUCACCAUCCCCUCUCUGAGGUGGGGAGGAAGAAGCAGGAGCCAUGGGAGGUGAAUUAGGAUGAGCUGAAAAUACCAUAUACUGUGGGCGACCUUGAGCUGAUGACCUAUUUCUCUGGCCUUCCCUUCUAGCAAUAUGGCGUGCUCGCCCCAUUGCUGCUGCAGCAGCAAAGUGUUG